rnacentral:lncRNA from 13 species
CAAUGACUAACACCUGCCUCUGAUUGAGAACCAUAUCAGGUCCAAACACAGAAACAGACAAACAAGACAUCCAACAUAGGGUGUGAUCUGAGUGGGCAUUCUGACCAAACAAAACAUAGAACAUACAAAGCAAACUAUGGUCAGAGUGUGACAGCAUUUUUAAAUACAUUGUGGUUAAAGUAGAGUAUGAUUUCAUUUAAUCAUUUAAUUAGAAUUGUUUUAACACCAAUCAUAGUCAAACUAUCAAACUGUUUGACUUGAAAAAAUACAAAACAUAUUUUUUUUAAAGAGCCGUUUGGGAGCCAAAAGAGCCGGCUCUUUUUGGUAAGCUGAGCCGAAUCACUGAAAAGAGCCGGCAUGCCCAUCACGGCUCUGAAAGUCACAAAGACCUUCUGGCAGUGGGGUAUGGACAGUUUGAUUUCAAGGACCAUAAAUCAGGCCUGGUCUGCUGCUGGUCUCUGAAGAAACCCACGGGAUGGAUGUCACUGACACCUCUCACAUUCCUGUUUUUUUUUUUUUUUUCAUCUCAGUUAAUAUCAUUAGUUUCCACAAUAGUGCUGUGCCUGUAACCUGGUCCCAGAUCUGUGUGUGCUGUAUAGCCAACCCCUAUGGUCUUUACAAUGACAAACAUUUGGCAAGACAUCACAAACCGAUCUGAUACCAGACUACUGUACCUGUGCCAGGUUAGAGAAUAGUUUUCUAGUGACUACGCUAAUAAGUCUUGUGUCUUGGAUCUACAGUGGCCUGAGAGGAUCUUUACCUGUGAGAGUGGAGUGACUGCUUUGGACUCCUCUGCUAGCAACGCCAGUCAGCUAGCUGUGGGGAUGCAUGACGGCAGAAUAGCCACCUACAACGUCGAGACCAGAGAGAAGACACCCGUCAUUGACAGCAGACGUAACAAAGCUGGUAGAACUGGCAUCUGUGAGAGUGCUACAGGAAACCUGCGUAUUGACUGCGCCUAUAAAAACGCCAACCCUGCACGGGAGGUUCACUGCAUUUGUAAAGAACCUCAAACUAUUUAUUUAAAAUUAUUUUAACAUUUUUAAAUUUAACCUUUAUUUAACUUGGCUGGUUCUUAGUUGAAGCACACUUAUUUGUGUGU